UACGUAGGGCGCAAGCGUUGUCCGGAAUUAUUGGGCGUAAAGAGCUCGUAGGCGGUCUGUCGCGUCUGCUGUGAAAACUCAGGGCUUAACCCUGAGCUUGCAGUGGGUACGGGCAGACUAGAGUGCGGUAGGGGAGACUGGAAUUCCUGGUGUAGCGGUGAAAUGCGCAGAUAUCAGGAGGAACACCGGUGGCGAAGGCGGGUCUC
rnacentral:rRNA from 1 species